rnacentral:rRNA from 1 species
AGAGUUUGAUCCUGGCUCAGGACGAACGCUGGCGGCGCGCUUAAUACAUGCAAGUCGAGCGAGAACCAUGGCUUCGGCCAUGGGGACAGCGGCGAACGGGUGAGUAACACGUGGGUAAUCAACCCUCGACACUGGGAUAGCCCGGGGAAACCCGGAUUAAUACCGGAUGUCCCAUCUGGCCUUCGGGCCGGCUGGAAAAGGUAGCUUCGGCCUCCGGUCGGGGACGAGCCCGCGGCGGAUUAGCUUGUUGGUGAGGUAACGGCCCACCAAGGCGACGAUCCGUAGCUGGUCUGAGAGGACGAUCAGCCACACUGGGACUGAGACACGGCCCAGACUCCUACGGGAGGCAGCAGUAGGGAAUCUUGCGCAAUGGGCGAAAGCCUGACGCAGCGACGCCGCGUGAGGGAAGAAGGCCUUAGGGUUGUAAACCUCUUUCAGGAGGGACGA